UCUCAACAUAAAUGGGCAUGGGAGGUUUAAGCAUUGAGGUGGUGAAUGAUUCGUAACGGGCAUCGAGGCUGUUCAACAGGGAGAAAACUUUCAUCUUGUCUGCUACGGGCCGUCCGAUCGAAGCUAAGCUAUCACACAAGCCUUUGAAGGUUUGGAGGUGAUCUGCAAGAGGCGUCGUGGGCUCUUUCUUGAGGUAUGUCAAUUGUUGAGUGAGAUGAAACUUUCGCUCCUAAGAGUCAUGAUUGUAUGCUACCUUGAGUGCCGCCCAAACCUGGUGCGUAGAAUCCAAACCCACAACGAGGCCAAGUGCCUCUUCCGAGAGGGUGCUAAUAAUCCACCCCCGUAAAAGUCUAUCAGACUUGCGCCACUGGAGGUAGGGCUCUCUUUUAUUUGAGUGCGAUGA